UGGUAGUAGUGAUGCUGGUGGUGGUGGUGGUGAUGGUAGUGGUGGUGGUGGUGAUGAUGGUGGAGGGAAAAGCAGACUCCAACGGAGAAGGAUGGAGGUCCUGUCGGUUUAGUGCGCCGUCGCUACGCCGUCGCGACGCCGAGCGUCGUCGAGAGCAGCCGAGCGUUGCGCUGCUGCUGCUGGCUGCUGGCUGCUACUGCUACUUCUCCUUUCAUGUGGUGGGGAUUUCAUCCCCCAUCUCUCUCUCUCUCUCUCUUUCCUUUCCUUCUCCCUCCCGUAAUUCUCUCGCGCGCGUGUGGCUCUGCAAAAACAAGCAUACGGAGAUCCCCAGUAGUAGCAGCCCGGUACGCAGAGCAGACGAGAACGUCAAACCGGUCGGCACUCGCGUACAGGAAGAGGAAAGAGAGAGAGAGAGAGAGAGACAGCACGCGAGAGAGAGAGAGAGAGAGAAUGAGAGAAGAAGAGAGAAGGGAAGAGAGACAUUGAUUUGAAAGAAUGACGUUGAGUAGAAAUCGAUCGAGCGAUUUCUAGGGAAAGAGUUUAAAGUGAUUCGAUGAGAGAGUGAAUUCCGCAUGUCGAAAGUUCUUCAGUGCAAUAAAGUGUUACUGUUCAAUAUUUAUAUAACAAAUCAAAAAGGAAGAAGGGAAGAAUUAUGAAGAGAACGUAAUCUGUUUAAAUAAAUAAAAAAAAAAAUAAAAAAAAAUAAUAAUAAUAAACGAACAAAUAAAAUUAACGAGAAAUAAGGAAAUAAAUAAAUAAAUAAAUAAUAACUAAAAGUGACAUAAUAAUCAGUGAAAAUUGACGUGCGAAGAAAAGAAGAAAACACUUUGUACAAUUUCGUGUUAUAAUCGUGUAUCCUGAUUGUCGUGUAUAUCCCUGUAACUCGUGCGCUAACAGGAAGGCUCCGUGUUUGUCACGUUUUCG